AGUCAUGGUCCAUGGCUGAGAACAAUGGUGAAAAGUCAUAUCGCACAAUAAAUGGUGUCCUACUGUAAUUAAAUGGAAAAUAAAUGCAUCAACAAACUUUGUUUUUCUUUUAGAGAAUAAAUGCAUCGCCAAAUUUAGUACUACUCUCCACCAAUUUUUGUGAUUAAUUUAAGAAAUUCAUUAAUUUGGGUACAUACAUAUAUGGUCCACUAAAUAGUUAAAAUUAAGUGCAUAAUUCAUUUGAAUACGCAUAAAUAUAACGGAAGAACGGAUAAAAAAAAGAAAGAAUAUAAGGCAAGAAGAAAGAAUGCUGAAUUAUUAUUAUUAUUUUAAAAUCAAAUAGAAACUUUCAUUAACCAAUAUCAAUGUCCAAAACAUCAUUCAAAAAAAGGAGGUUGUCUAAGCCACUUCCCAGUGCCGGAAAAAGAGAGCAGCAGUCGUACAAGAGAAUGAGCAACCUGGUUCAAAGACCUUUUAACAAACAUAAGAUGUGCAUGACUGAAUGCACUCAAACAAAAACUUACAAUCAGCUAUUAUCAAGCCAGAAACAGAAAAAUCACAAGACUCGAGCUUCAUAGCAUUAACCAUAACAAAAAAGUCAGACUCAAACAUCACAACUAAAAGCCUUUAAUCCAACUUAUCAGCACUGCCCUCAACCACAAAACUUACACCGCCUGAGGGACCAUCGGGUCUAGUAAAGCACAACUCCCAGCAGUGACGAAAUGACCGUUAGAGUCCCUAAUAACACCCAUACCCCAACUCAUUUCUAUCUUGAAGUAGACCUACAUCAAUGUUGCAUUUGACCCACCCAAAUUGUUGUUUUUUUUUUUUUUUUUUAAUUCUGAUAAAAAAAUAAGAACUAAAGAAAGAAAAAGUAAAACAAAAAAGCAAGUACAAAUGUACAGUGGCAUAAACCUGUACACACGCAAACUUGAGUUGAAUACAGGUGAAGUUAGUGAUUUGCCAAUUCUCCAAAAUGGAAAGAAAAGAUGCAAAUGAACAAUAAAAACAAAUAUGAGGAACCGACUCCAAAUAGAAAUGCGCAAAUAUAACAAGAAUAAAUGUUCUCUUUAUUAUGCUAACACCCUUUUACUGACCAAAAAAAACAAUGCAAAGAAAAACCGAGCUUAAACUAGAACUAUAUAAUAAGAUUUGUUAUGCUGAAAUCAAGAAAUUAGAAU
rnacentral:lncRNA from 1 species